AGGGAUAUAGCUCAGUGGUAGAGCGCAUGCUUAGCAUGCACGAAGUCCUGGGUUCAAUCCCUAGUACCUCCC
rnacentral:tRNA from 1 species